rnacentral:rRNA from 1 species
UACGGGGGGAGCAAGCGUUGUUCGGAUUUACUGGGCGUAAAGGGCGCGUAGGCGGCCACCGCAAGUCGACUGUGAAAUCUCCGGGCUUAACCCGGAAAGGUCAGCCGAUACUGCGGGGCUAGAGUGCAGAAGGGGCAACUGGAAUUCUCGGUGUAGCGGUGAAAUGCGUAGAUAUCGAGAGGAACACCGGUGGCGAAGGCGGCCUUCUGGACAGCACUUGACGCUGAGACGCGAAAGCGUGGGGAGCAAACAGG